GAGUUUGAUCUUGGCUCAGAUUGAACGCUGGCGGCAUGCCUUACACAUGCAAGUCGAACGGCAGCACGGGAGCUUGCUCCUGGUGGGCGAGUGGCGAACGGGUGAGUAAUGCACUCGGAACGGUAUCCUGGAGUGGGGGAUAACGUAGCCGAAAGUUACGCUAAUACCGCAUAUUCUGGUGAGCAGGAAAGCGGGGGACCUUC
rnacentral:rRNA from 1 species